rnacentral:lncRNA from 1 species
UCGUUUCAUUUUUUGGGAAGGUUGAACAGUAGCAUUUUCGUGUGUUAACGUUGAUGCAUAUUGUUGGAAUUCUUGUACAAUUUGUUCCUGAAGUGACAUCAAAGUACCUAUUUCAAAUUGACAUUUUGCUUUCAAGAAUUCAGUGGUGCAGAGAAUGUGGUCUGUUGUAUCUUUGAUUAUCUCAACAAAUUUCUUCUCUGAGGUUCUAAGUUGUAUUUACUAUUGUUGGAAGAAUAACAAAAGAAAACAAAAGUUGCUACAAUAAUUUGUUAGAAUCUUUUCUAGCCAACAAUGAUAUGUCCAGAUAUAUUUUUACUAUUUUGUUUUCUGGCAUGAUACUGUGCAAAUGAAAUUCGAAACUAUGGGUGUGUUUCGUAUUGGAAAAUAUUCUCCAUGGAAAACGUUUUUUCGGAAAAAGUUUUUCUGGAAAAUAACUUGAUUCUGUAGUUAUUUUCUUAUGUUUGAUUGGUAAGUGAAAAAUAUUUCAUGGUGUUUGAUUUGUGAGUAGAAAAUAUUUUUUGUGUUUGAUUGGUGAGUAGAAAAUAUUUUUCAAAAAUAUAUUUUCUAGUAUUUGGUUGGUGAAUGAAAAAAUAUUUUUUAGAAAAUAUUGUUAACUAUUAACUAGUAUACUGAACAAAUUUAAGCAUAACAAAUAAUAUCAAUAUCGAGUAUUAAGAUAUUACAAGUCACUAAAGUUUAAGCAAUUAUUAAUUAGCAAAUAUAGGAGACACUUUUCAACAUUUUAUCAGGACAAUCUGAAGAUACCACAAUCAAUAGAAAUACAAUUGAAUGACGAGCUUAUUCAACCUUGUGAAAUAAGCUACAACGAUGACAAAAUAAAAUAUGCAAUUAGCAAAAGUAACAUAGGUAAGUCUUCCUCUAUGCACAUGGAAAUAACAAUACAUUCAACGAACAUUGGAAACAAGGAAAAAUUUAGACUUCAAUAUUUUUUAUUUCAAGUAGUAAAAAAUUGAAGCAAAGCUGAGUGAAAAAUAUUUCUGAGUAAUGCGUAUUUUUUGAGUAAUGUGAAUUUAAGUGUUGUUGGGGUGGGGAAAGAUGGGUGAGGGUGGGAUAUAAAAGUCACAUCUAUCAUUUUCUGAAAAAUGACUUCCCUUGGUCUAUGAUGACUUUCCUUGGCCCAUGAGGAAAGUCAUUUUCCUUCAAAUAAAGAAAAAUAAGUUAUUUUGAAAAACAGUUUCCCAAUGUUUUAGUACAGCCAAAUACAUUUUCCAUUGAAACAAGCACACCCUAUGUGGUUCAUUUGUCAUUUUGGCAAGUUAGAAAGAAAAGAAAGACUUGAUUACGGAAAAAGAGGAGAGUAAAAAAAUAUUACUAGUAUGUAAUAAGGUUACUUAUAAGGUAAUACACGUUUAAAAAAAAUUGUGAUAGUCAUGACAUGUGAGCUUGUGCACACCUAAUUAAACCCACUGGUCCACCAACUCCCACCAAUACAAAUAUCGGAUAACUGUCUCUUUUGGAAUUGGAACAUGAUACCUCAAAAAUUACAUGUAAAUGUUUAUGUUAUGAUUUAACUCAUAACUUGUUAAAAAUGGUAAUUGACCUGCUAUGACAGGUUAAAUUAAACUGUCAGCGCAUAGAACAUAAAUUCAAAAUAAGAAUGGGCGAAGAAAAAGGGAAGUGCCGAUUUUUAUGUUUUAUUGUUUGUAGAACAGAGGAGAAUAAUGAGAAAGAUAAAUUGAAGUUGUUAGAGAUUGCAUCUUACUUUGUGCCCAAACCCGAGAUUGAGCGACGAAGGAAGAAAUGGUCAUUGCUUGUUUUUUAUUUUUCCCCAUGAGGAGUAGCACUGCCUCUUUAGUUACACGGAAAAGAAAAUUUAGAGUUUUUGAGUAUCUAGCAUUCUCCUCUAAUUUUUCUUGAACUUGAGAAUGCUUUGAUAUGUAUCCUAUUCAUGCAGAUUCACUAUACUGCAAGGUUUGCGGAUGGUAUAGUUUUUGACAGCAGCUAUAAGCGUGGCCGAGCCCUGACCAUGCGCCUCGGCAUGGGUAAGGUAUGUUUUUCCACUUCAAGGUCAGAGGUAAGUUAUGUUUACUGGUGGUAUAAAGUGUGACUCUGUAUUACCUUUUUCUUUGUUUGUCUGACCCAGAUUAUAAAAUUAGGACCAGUUAUCUAUCAGAUAGACAAUUGAAAAGGUUUUCAUAUAACUAUAGUUCAAUAUACUAUAUGCAUCGAAAGAUCAUACGAAAUGUCUCAAGCGGGACGAAUAUCUAUAUACUUACAAAACGAAAUAUGUGACAAGUUUGAAGAGAGCAAUAUAAACAACAUUGUCAUUGGAUUUGGCAACUGUUAAGGUAUUAUCAUUCACGUAAUAUCAUCAAUUUUCAUUUCCACGGUUUUCUUGACUUCUUUAAAUGGAAGUUUAAAAUAGUUAUCUUUUGAUAUAAUCUCUUACUUUAUCAAAGCAAGUGUCUGCCGAGUUCUCCAUCGUCCAACUUUACUAAACUUCCAGACUUUAUUUGGCAAGUCUUAUCCUCUGUAAUUAAUAUCUUUCCUAUUCCUUUUCACUCCCCAUUCACUUUUUUUGCCACCGAGAUCUGUUAUUCAUGCUUACCAAAAAAGAAAAAGGAAUUGUUUACCCAUACAAAAGAGAAGGAAAAUGAAUGAAGGAAAGAGAAGCUUGCAUAAAGGGG